AUACUCUGGUUUCUUUUCAGAUUGUAUAAAUCUUUUCCUUUUACUAAAGAUUUCCAUGCAGAGGAACAAUUCUGAGUCUUCAGAAAUUUUUUGAGGCCUAAUUUUACCGAGGCU